ACACACACACAAAUAAGAUAAAUGAAGCUAGAUCCUAGGUGUGUUUUGGUCUGGGGUUUGAAAGGGGCUUGAUAGAUUAGAGAAAAAAGGGGAAAGAAAAAAAAAAAGGAAAUUGUUUGAAAUUUUGAAAAAAUGAAUACACUGAAAUAGAAUAAAAUAAAAUGAUGGAAGUAAAACAGAAUUUGAAAAAAAUUUACAAAAAAGAAAAAAUAUAGUAGAAAAAAAUUAAAGAAAAAUAUUUUUAAUAAAAAUUGAAAAUAAAAAUAAUUUUUUCUCUUUCUGUAUUCAAGAAAAAGAAAUGACAAAGAGAUGAAAAAAAAAGAAAAUUAAAUAGAUGGACGAGUGAACAGACUGAAAUACUAUUGAAAUUACUUCGUUUUCCCCUAGAAGCCAAUGAAGCGUUUUACAGUCUGUAAACUAAGCAGCCAGAGAAAUUUGUGUUCCUGAAGAGCGAGGUUGGCCCAGUUGGGCGGGGCUUGGUGUAAUGGCUCCAUUCUCCACUAGAUGGCGCUGCUUAGCUUAUUGGGGUGGAUUGUUGCGGUGCUUGUAGGUGCGUAUGGGCAUGCGCGAGGGCAGUGAAAAUGGCGUCUAGUAUAGGAACUCUGUUCUCCCGGAUGAGCAAUCACCCGCCUGUCCUUUGUCUUCGGCUUCCAUCCACUCCCCGCUUUUACACGGUCCGUGACCAAGCCCCAGGCACCACCUCCCUCCUGAGUUUUGUCUCAGAUGCGGCUGUUUUUCCCAACCCCUUAUUUCUGAGGGACUGCGGCUUUGACCUGAUCUGCCCGUUUGCGGGAGGAUCUCACCGAGCAAUGGCCGGGUGCCGGCCGCUCCCAGGAACGUUCGCAGGCUGCGCUGCUGCCGACGCCCAGAGACUGCGGCCAGGUGCCAGCCCGCCCUGGAAAAAGUUCGUGAGACAGUGUAGCAGCAGCGCCUCAGGGAUUAUGGAAAAUCACAACACGCAUCUGCUUUAAUGACCUUGUUCCAGGACCAGCAAAUGUGGUUGUUCCCCCAGGUCCACUGGGGCCUUGCCUUUGGGGGACCGACACAGCCUCCACCAAGUGUCCUCCCAGCAGGGUAACCGCCUCUCCCCGUGUGGCCUGAAGAACCCCGGACCCCACUCUGCUCCUGAGGAUUCGCCCUUCUCACCAGAGCACCGCCAGUAGGCUCACACCCAGCGCCCAAUGCAGGGGCUUGAACUCACGACCCUGAGAUCAAGACUGAGCUGAGAUCAAGAUUCGGAUGCUUAACCAACUGAGCCAAUCAGGGAGGAAAUAAAGCAAAUAAAGGGAAUCACUUUUGGGUGAAACCAAAAUGCUCCCGUGGAGUGGCGUUUCAAUUCCGAAACCCCUCACUCACAGAUCUUUCUGCAUGAUGGAGACUGAAGGACAGAGAACCUCAACCACAUUCUCCAACCCUGGGGAAUGCUAAGCACCUAUUCCCACAGUCUUCAAGAUUUACUGCAGAACCAGCAGCAAGUGCAAACAUUCACCCAAAUUCCUCCCACCCCAACUCGACCCUCGGGAGAGAACAGGCUGUUGUUAAUGUGUGCCCGUGGGGCCUAGAGAUGUUUUCAAGGGAAAUAGCUAGAACUCGCAUUCCCAUCUAGAUUUCAGGGGCGACUUCCACACCCCUUACAAGAAAUAAUGGUAUUUUUUUCCCCUGAAUAGAAAAGAAUGUUCGUGUAGAAAGUUGAAAAACACAAAAAAGAGAUCUGAAAAAAGAAAAUCUCAGAAUCCUAAAAUUUUUGGUGGUGAAUCCUUCUAGGCUGCUUUUAUGCAUGUUUAUGUUUAUGGAAUAUAUAUGUAAUGAAAAAUAAAAUGACUCUACAUUUGCUAGAUAAAUUUUUUUUUUUUUUAGUUUAUAUAUUUAUUUUGAGAGAAUGAGAGAGGGAAAGCAGGGGAGAAGCAGAGAGAGCUGGAAACAGAGGAUCCGAAGCAGGACAGAGGAUCUCUGACAGCAAUGAGCCCAAUGUAGGGCCCGAACCCAUGAGCCAGAGAUCAUGACCUGAGCCGAAGUCAGACGCUGAACUGACUGAGCCACACAGGCGCCCCUAAAUUGAUUUUUUAAAUUAACUAUAGAACAUGGAUAUGUUCCCACUUUAUUCAAUACUAUCUCAUAUCAGCAUUUGAAAUGGCAAUUUGAAAUGGUUACAUGAAAGGAGUACUAUGAUUUAUUUAACCAAUUUAAAUUAAUCCCCAUUGCUGGACAUUAAUCCCAAUUUUCUGCUAUUAAAAUUAAUUCUUCUGAGGCAUUUUUGUAUAAACCUCAGUAAUAUGUCCUUUGGUGUAAUUUAGGGGAUGUUGAAAUUCCAGGUCGCAGAACAUGCCCAUUUUAAAGGUUUUGGACAUACAACUUUAUUUAUUUAAAAAAAAUUUUUUUUAAUGUUUGUUUAUUUUUGAGAGAGAGAGAGAGUGGGGGAGGGGCAGAGAGCAAGGGAAACAGAAUCCAAAGCAGGCUCCAGGCUCUGAGCUGUCGGCACAGAGACUGAUGCGGGGCUCAAACUCACAGACCAUGAGAUCAUGACCUGAGCCAAAGUCGGAUGUAUAACCGACUGAGCCACCCAGGCACCCCACUGACAUGCAGUUUAAACAUCAAUUUUCAGUCUUCCUAGUCUUGCCAACAUUGCAAGUUAUUUUAAUAAAAAUACUUUGCCAAUUUGAUAAAAGAAAAACGUGACUUCACUGUGUUUUUACUAUGAAUUUACAUGAUUAUUAAUGACAUUGAAGGGCUUUUUUCACUGUGUUUAUUAACCAUUUAUAUUUUUAUUUUUGUUUUGACUAUUUAUAUGCUUUCUUUAGGGGUUUUUUUGCAAUACUUUUCUUUUUAUUACUGAUAUAGAAGACCUUUUCAAAUAUUAAGGAUAGUAACCCCCCCCCUUUUUUCUAUUUUAGAGAGAGAGGGCACAAGAGGUGGGGAGAGGGGCAGAGGGAGAGAGAGAGAGAGAGAGACAGAGAGAGAGAGAGAGAGAGAAUCUUAAGCAGGCUCCAAGCUCAGCCAGGAGCCUGAUGCAGGGCUCAGUCCCACAACCCUGGGAUCAUGACCUGAGCCAAUAUCAAGACUUGGAUGCUCAAUUAACUGAGCCACCCAGGUGCCCCAGUAACCCUUUGUUAACAUACUGGCAAGUUUUCCCUGGCUUGCUGUUUGCCUUAAUUGUAUUUGUGAUUUUUUUUUUUAAUGUACAGAAGUGUUUUUUCAUGUUUUAUGCAGUAGAAACUAUAUUAAUCUUCCCUUUUGUUUUCUGACUUUGGUUGUAUAGGCUUAAAAAGCUUUCUCUAAGUCCCACAGACUUUUGUCAAUAAAUCAUAGCCAUGUGCUACUAUCUUAAUAGCUCUUCCAUUAUUGUGAAGGCCAGGACCAGCUCUUUUUCUUACUUCCCCCUUAAGUGUCCUGCGUUUAGUUGAAUACAAUCCAUUCACUAAAAACAUAUUUUAACUGAGCACCCACUGCAUUCCAAAUGUAAAUGAAUUAGACACCUGUACGCAACUGCUUCUUUGUGAAUUUUCCCAGCAAAUAACUGAAUAAUUAGCACAUGUGACGAAUACAGAGACCAGGGCAGGAAGGGAACUGGAGAAAUUUUUAAAACUCCCUGACCCUUGAAAAUUUAAAAAAAAAAUUUUUUUUUUACGUUUAUUUAUUUUUGAGACAGAGAGAGACAGAGCAUGAAUGGGGGAGGGUCAGAGAGAGGGAGACACAGAAUCUGAAACAGGUUCCAGGCUCUGAGUGGUCAGCACAGAGCCCGACGCAGGGCUCGAACUCACGGACCGCAAGAUCAUGACCUGAGUCGAAGUCAGCCGCUUAACCGACUGAGCCACCCAGGCGCCCCGAAAAUUUAAAGUUCAAUACACUUUUGAGGGGAUUAAAGAGGCAAGGUUUCAACUUUAAAAAAAAUUUUUUUUAACAUUUAUUUAUCAUUGACAGACAGAGAGACACAGAGCGUGAGCAGGGAAGGGGUAGAGAGAGGGGAGACACAGAAUCUGAAGUAGGCAUCAGGCUACUGUCAGCUGUCAGCACAGAGCCCAACACAGGGCUCGAACUCACAAACUGUGAGAUCAUGACCUGAGCUGAAGUCAAUCACAUAACCAACUGAGCCACCCAGGAGCCCCUCAACUUUUUUUUUUAAUGUUUAUUUAUUUUUGAGAGAGAGAGAAAGUGGGGGAGAAGCAGAGAGAGAGAGGGAGACACAGAAUCCGAAGCAGGCUCCAGGCUCUGAUCUAUCAGCACAGAGCCAAACACAGGGCUUGAACCCACGAAUGAGUGGUGAGAUCAUGACCUGAACCCAAGUCAGAUGCUUAACUGACUGAGCCACCCAGGCACCCUUGGAGAGGCAAGAUUUAUAAGAGACAAGUGAGUAACUGUAGUACAAGGGAGAAAGUAGAAGUAGGCUGUGAGAUGGGUAAAAACUCUCAUUGCUCACAUGAUGGGGAUCAGGGAGGGCCUGUAGAGAAAAUGGCAUCUGAAGUGAGCUUUACAGGUAGAAAUGAAGGAGAGAACACUCUUCCUCCUGCCCUUAAAGAGAAGAAGAAACAGGCACGGUUGACCCAAUCUCUCCCUGUAGUACUAUAAAAAAAGGUUUCCAACCCACAAUGCCCAGAGGAGGGGCUCAGUGAAGAGAGUUGGCAUGUCUUUAUACUGCCUUUUGCAUUUACAAUUUGCUUCUGGUAUUUGGGGGGGGGGGGUGUAGAAAAUUUUCUUUGUUACAUAGUUAAAUCUUUUCAAAUGGUGUGGCAGACUGUACUUUCCAAAGAUGGCUGCACUAAUAUAUAUCCCAUCUCACAUGCUCUUCUUAGAAGGUGACUGUAACAGGCUUCAUUGAGAGGUGGAGUCUCUGUUCUCUGCCAUUGAACCUGGGUGGAUCUCCAUAAUUGCCUCAACCAGUAGAAUGUGGCAGAAGUGCUGUGGCAUGACAUCCAAGGCUAAGGCCUAAAAAGCACUGCUGGCUGGCUCUCCUUCUCUCUCUUGGGACACUUGCACUCUGAACACAGCCACCAUAUUCUGAGAAAGUCCAGGCCACACAGAUUCCUGGUCAAUAGCGCCAACCAGAUUCCUGGUCAACAGCCAGACAAGUGAACAAGGAAGAGUUGGAGCUUAUGAUGUCAUUUACAUCUGAGAUGAUUAUUGUGGCUUCUGGAGACUUGACUGGGGGGAAAGGGACAACAGAUCAGGUGUGGAGGUAGGAAGAACAAUAGGUUAAAGGCUUUAGCCAUAACCCAGGACAGAGAUGAUGUGGUUUGGAUUAGGGUUAUAGCAGUGAAAUAGGUAAGAAGUAGUCCUAUUUGGGAAAUGCUUUGAAUGUAGAGUUUAUGGGAUUUGCUAAUGGACUGGAUGGGAGUUGGGAGGGAAAGAGAGGAGUCACUGAUGAUAUCUAGAUUGUUAGCCUGAGAAGUUAGGUAUUGGGUCAGUGAUGGUGUGUCAUUUAUUGAGAUGAAAACACCUAAGGAAAGAGUAGCUUUUCAAGGCAAGAUAAGUCAUUAAUUUGAUCCUGGGAAUGUUCUAUGAGAAGCCUGUUAGAUAUCCAAGUGGAAAAGUGAAACAAAUGGUGGGAAAUGUGAGUCUAGAGCCUUGAGAGGCCUUAGCUGGAGAUACAAACAUGGGAGUCAUGGCAUAUAGAUGGUGUUCCAGAUACAAUAGCUGUGUAAUAAAUGACCUCAAGACUUAGCUUAAAACAGCUAUUUCAUUUGCCCACCAAUCUAUGGGUUAAGAAUUUAGGGCAGGGCUGGGGCGCCUGGGUGGCUCAGCCAGUUAAGUGACUGACCAUCAGUUUCAGCUCAGGUCGUGAUCUCACAGUUCAUGAGAUCAAGUCCCACAUAGGGCUCCAUGCUGACUGCACAGAGCCUACUUGGGAUUCUCUCUCUCUCUCUCUCUCUCUCUCUCUCUCUCUCUCCUCCUCUCUCUCUCUGCCUCUCCCUCCUCUCAAAAUAAAUAAAGAAACUUAAAAAAAAUUUUAAGGCAGGGCACAACAGGAAUGUUUAGCCUCUAUGCCACAAUGGGGUCUCAGCUUGGAAGACUUUAAGGCUGGAGGCAACACGUAAGGUGGGUUUGGAAUCACUUGGAAGCAUCUUUAUUCACAAAUCUGCCAAUUCAGGCUGGCUAGUUACUGGGACCUGAGCAGAGGUGGUCAACUGGACUACUCAUAGUGGCUUGUCUAUGUGGCUUGGGCUUCCUUACAGCAUGGAAGCCUUGGGAUGGCUGGACUAUGUACAUGGCAGCUCAGGGCUCCAUAAGUGAGUGUACCAAUGAACAAGGCAGAAGCUGCAUCACCUUACCUAACUUAACUUUGAAAGCUAUGCAGCACCCUUUCCACUCCAUUCUACAGGCUACAAGACAGUCAGUAACAGCCUGUCUAGAUUCAAAGUAAGUGGCGAGGUGGGUAGAUAUAGAUCCCUUCUCUUGAUGGAGGAAUGUGAAGAUUACAUUAUAGAAGAGCAUGUAGGAUGGAAAUGUUUUUGUGGACAAUCCUGGGAAAUACAACUUACUACAGAUGGUAAUUGUUUAGGGCUUUGCAAUUUGAUGAGAUCACUUAAGAAGCAAAUGUAGACCAAAGAGGUCCAGGACUGAGGCCUGGGCACCCAACAUUUAGAGAAUGGGAGGAAGAGGAGCCAGUGGGUAGAAGGAAGCUUAGAGCAAAAGUCAUUUUUUGCAGCAACUGCUCCUCCUUCCUUAUGAAAUUCCUUAGGAAGUGGGGUCAGGGCAAGUUCUUGCAUUGGCCAGCAGUUGCUACAUGGGGCCAGAAACAGCCCUCCCCAGUGGGCACUGCCUAGGGGCUCAGCUGAGCCCAACUCCUCAGCCCCACCAAGGUGAUCAGUCAGUACCGCUGGUUCCUGCAAUUUCUCAGUCUUCCAAAACACACGCAAGGAGGGGAGGGUAGUGUCCAUAGACCCUUCCUGUGGAGAUGCGGUUGCCCAAGUCCAGAGAAACCCUUCUUUUAGAAAACCAUUUUUGACCCUUCUUCAAGAGCUAAAGAAGCCUCCAUUUCGCUCAACUUCAAAGAAAACUUAACAUCCAAACAGUAGCAUCUGGAUUUAGAUUUAACUUGACUUCAGUUUCCUUUAAAAGUAUUUGGCGAAUGUUGUCUCAAGUCUUGGAGAAUUUCCUCAACCAAGAGAGUCCAAAGGUAAUGAUGCUUUCACCUCCAGGAAACUCAACCGCCAGAAGUUCCCUAAAUGGCAGGUCCCAGGGAACAACACAAAAUAAUUAAGUCCCUCUUCUCAAAGACCUUGCUAUAAUAGUUAAAAUAAACAGUCUGUGUGUUAGAGUUGGAAGUUCUGUUAUUAUAUAGCUGUCUUGCUGAAAUGGGUUCAAACCUCUACAGAGUUAUAAAGAAUGAGGCGCGUGCUGCUCCUUUAAUGUUGUUCUUGCUCAUGCAAAUGACGCCCUAUUACACCCAGCAAUGCUUAACUACUAGGUUAAAAACAACCACAUAGCAAUUUGGACCUCUCCAGGGGGUGGAGUAGGUACCCUCACUGCUUUGUGGUUUUAUGCAAUUCGUAUACUGUAUACAAGAAGACUUGACCUGGGGCAGGCAGUAAGAAAUGUGUAAUUAGAAACACUUCCCAAGGAAAUUACGAUGACAAGUCAAGGCUUGAGGAUUUCCGCAGGAGCCUGGAGCCGCAGAUAUUCAUUAUAGGUACUUGGAAGGCACAGCCGCCAGGCUGAAAACCGUGUCUAAUUGCUGUGCGGCUGGAUGCAGGCACCGAGGACCGCCCAGGGCCGCCCAGAGCCAGAAAUGGUGUCUAUGGCAACACAACACUCCAUUUUUAAACUUUUCACUGCAUAAAAAGAAAUUGCUUACAUUUUCCUUAUUCUCUUUUUCUUCCUACCAAUUUCAGAGUUUGUACCAGCGGUGAAUCCCCUCUAGGUCUAGCAUUUCCUGGUAACUAAUGACUUUCUGGGUGAAACGCUUUUGGCUUUACCUCCAACCAGCCAUUAAUUACUGCCCCAGGAAGCAUUUUCCAAUCAAAUUAUUGUUUAACCAAAAAUAAAAGAAAAUGGACUUUUACUGCUGUCAACAACAAUGAUCAACUCUCCCUCUGAGUCUAAAUGGGAAUCGUGGCAGUUUUAAAUUUAGGAAGUGUCCCUCUGGGGGCCAGUUAAGAAAGGCUUUCUCUAGAUACAGCAAAGUUGCUCUGGGUGCCCUUGAGGACCUUUGGCUGUGGCCCCAGAGGAUGCUGACCCACAGGCAGGAAGGAUCAGGAAAGUUACACAUGCACACCACCCCACCACCCCUGCUCCUGGGUCCCCAGUCAUUCUUUGUCAGUGUCCUUCUAACCUUGCUGUUAAGGCAAAUGCCCUAAAUGCUUCUAUGGGAGUGUCUGAGAGGAAGGAUUGCUUCCAUGAGCAGUGGAUAUGUAAAAUCUGCAUGCAGAGGGCACCUGGAUGGCUCAGUCAGUUAAGUGUCUGACUCUUGAUUUCAGUUCAGCUCAGGAUGUCAUGAUUUGUGAGUUCAAGCCCCACAUCGCACUCUGUGCUGAUAGUGCAGAGCCUGCUUGGGGUUCUCUCUCUCCUCCCUCUGUCUCUGCCUCUCUCCCACUGGGUCUCUCUGUCUCUCUCAAAAUAAAUAAACUUAAAAAAAAAUCUGCACACAUGAUAAUAGUCACACCUCUUGAGUACCGACAACAUGCCAGGCAGGUGCUGUGCCCCAUGGUUUACACACAUCAUCUGGAGUGAGCUCCAUCAGGCCCCAAAGGGAGAGUACAGUCAUUAUUCCUGUUUCACAGAUGGGGAAACUGAGAUUUAGAGAGGGUAACUUGGCCAAGAUCCACCAUAUCCUGGUGAGUAGCAGAGCCAGAACUUGAUUCCCAGUCUUUCCAUCAUAGCCUUAGCUUUUUACUUGUUUUCUUAAUUUUGUUAUCUAUGUUUCCUCUAAUUUAUUAUUAUCUACAUUAUAUGUGUGGCAAAAUACACAUCGCAUAAAAUUUACCAUCUUAAGAUUUUUAUUUAAAAUUUUUGUUUAAUGUUUACUUAUUUUUGAGAGAGAGAGUGCAAGUGGGAGAGGGGCAGAGAGAGAGGGAGACAGAGGAUCUGAAGUGGGCUCUCUGCUGUCAGCAUGGAGCCUGAUGCGGGGCUCAAACCCAUGAACCAUGAGAUCAUGCCCUGAGACAAAGUCAGUCGCUUAACCGACUGAGCCACCCAGGGCCACCCAUCUUAAGCAUUUUAAAGUGUGCAUGAAGUACACUCGGUGGCAUGAAGUACAUUCGCUUUGUUGUGUGGCCAUCACCGCCGUCCAUCUCCUGAGCUCUUUUCCAUCAUGCAGAGCUGAAACUCUGUCCCCAUGAAACAACAGCUCCCCAUUCCCUCUUCCCCCACAUCAGCCCCUGGCAACCACCAUUCCAGUUUCUGUCUCUCUGAAUUUCACUACUCUAGGUAGUGGGUUUUUGCGGUAUUUUCUAAACUGCUUCUUUCACUUAGCAUACUGUCCUUAAGGUCUAUCCACAUUGUAGCGUGCAUCAGAAUUUCCUUUUCUAAGGCUGAAUAAUAUUCCAUUAUCUAUAUACAACAUAUUUGUUUGUCAUUCACCCACGGGGGGACCACUAGGUUGCUUCUUUUGGCUGUGUGGCUAUUGUGAAUAAUGCUGCUGUGGUUAACUCUUAACCACUAAGACACAUUGAGACUUUGAGUGACUCUUAAAGGGGGGCACACGACCCACGGACUGCCUGACACCACUAACCUGCAGACCGGCCAAGUACCAUGCAGUCGGCCCAUCAGCCUAUUCCAGAAGGCGCCACCUUGCUGGCAGGGGAAAAAGGUGGCUGAGGCCAGAACGUCCUCUGGGUUAGCCAACUGGAGCUCCACAGCGCCACACUGGCACACCCGAUGAGGAACUUGGGUGUUCACUUCCAGUCUGUAUCCCUGAGACUUACAUUCUGGGGAAGACAAGGGCUUUCCAAUCCUAACUUCUCAGUCCAGACUUGACUGCAGGAUUCUCCAGCUGGACCAGAGCCUGUUCUGGGACACCACGGGCUCAUCUGCCAGCCCCUUG